rnacentral:rRNA from 1 species
AACGAACGCUGGCGGCAGGCCUAACACAUGCAAGUCGAACGCCCCGCAAGGGGAGUGGCGCACGGGUGAGUAACGCGUGGGAAUAUGCCCUUCGGUUCGGAAUAACACAGGGAAACUUGUGCUAAUACCGGAUACGAUCUACGGAUGAAAGAUUUAUCGCCGAGGGAGUAGCCCGCGUAGGAUUAGCUAGUUGGUGAGGUAAUGGCUCACCAAGGCGACGAUCCUUAGCUGGUCUGAGAGGAUGAUCAGCCACACUGGGACUGAGACACGGCCCAGACUCCUACGGGAGGCAGCAGUGGGGAAUAUUGGACAGUGGGCGAAAGCCUGAUCCAGCCAUGCCGCGCGAGUGAUGAAGGCCUUAGGGUUGUAAAGCUCUUUCGCCAGGGAAGAUAAUGACGGUACCUGGAAAAGAAGCCUCGGCUAACUCCGUGCCAGCCGCCGCAGUAA